UAGAGUUGUGUUCUGAAAAAAGAGAAAAGAAAAGAGACAAGAUGAAAAAAAAAAGGAAAAAAUAUAUAGAAAAAUGAAAAAAAAAAAUUGUGAAUAAAUGAGUCAAGAAGAGGAUGGAAUUAAAGGUUUUGGGUGUGAGUAUACUGUGUUUUCACUUGUUCCCCAUUGCUCCUCUAUUUCCUUUGGUUUGUAGCUUCUCACCCAUAUUUAUCCUCCCUUUUCCUUGACCCCAUUGCAUCCAUAAAAGACCUUUUGAUUUGAACAUGCAUAUAUGUUUUGAGUGUUGAUAUUAGAGGCUUGCCAAGACUGUUUGUUGCCUGCUUUCUUGAGUGCAUUGAGUUGAAUUGUUUACCCUAGACACUUGAGAGAAACGCUGAUAGUGCAUCUGUGAGGUUCUGUUGCUUUUGAUUCUCCUCUUGAACUGAUUGAUUAUUUUGCCAUGCUUUGAAUUGCUUGGAUGAUUUCUUUGAGUAUCUGCUUUCUCUGAUUCUGUGUGGAUACUGUCUACCUCCUUUCUUUGCCCAGAUUUCUUGAGGACUGUAAUUCUGUCUGCUGAGUCUGUGUCAAUUCCC
rnacentral:lncRNA from 1 species